rnacentral:rRNA from 1 species
AGCGAACGCUGGCGGCAGGCCUAACACAUGCAAGUCGAACGAACUCUUCGGAGUUAGAGGCGGACGGGUGAGUAACACGUGGGAACGUGCCUUUUGGUUCGGAAUAACUCAGGGAAACUUGUGCUAAUACCGAAUGUGCCCUUCGGGGGAAAGAUUUAUCGCCAUUAGAGCGGCCCGCGUCUGAUUAGCUAGUUGGUGAGGUAACGGCUCACCAAGGCGACGAUCAGUAGCUGGUCUGAGAGGAUGACCAGCCACACUGGGACUGAGACACGGCCCAGACUCCUACGGGAGGCAGCAGUGGGGAAUCUUGCGCAAUGGGCGAAAGCCUGACGCAGCCAUGCCGCGUGAAUGAUGAAGGUCUUAGGAUUGUAAAAUUCUUUCACCGGGGACGAUAAUGACGGUACCCGGAGAAGAAGCCCCGGCUAACUUCGUG